GAGAUUUUUGUUUCUGAAGUCCACCUUUUUUCGCUUUGUUAUGAGUCACUCUACUUGGGAUGAGGAGAUUUCCACUUUGAAUGAUAUACAUGAUUGAUUGUUCUAUUGUGCUCUGGGGUUUCAUUUGGUGUGCACUGCAAUCCCAUGACUUCUUCUAUCCAUGAUUAUUCUGAUAAUGGUGAGGCUGAUGAGCAGCAAAAGUACUCUGGAUCUCAGAAUCAUUCUUCAUCAAUCGUAAAUGGACUAAGUCAACCCACCAUCGUAACUCCAAAUCAGUAUGUAACAUCUCCUCAAGUUGGAGCAGGACAUGCUAUGGCACCCCCUGCUUAUCCAUAUCCAGAUCCUUAUUACAGAAGCAUCUUCACUCCCUA
rnacentral:misc_RNA from 1 species